GACGUAGGGGACGAGCGUUGUCCGGAUUCAUUGGGCGUAAAGCGCGUGUAGGCGGUUCAGUAAGUCUGCUGUGAAAGUCCAGGGCUCAACCCUGGGAUGCCGGUGGAUACUGCCGUGCUUGAGGACUGGAGAGGAGACUGGAAUUUACGGUGUAGCGGUGAAAUGCGUAGAUAUCGUAAGGAAGACCAGUGGCGAAGGCGGGUCUCUGGACAGUUCCUGACGCUGAGGCACGAAGGUCAGGGGAGCAAACGGGG
rnacentral:rRNA from 1 species